rnacentral:lncRNA from 7 species
AGGAACCUUGGAUACCUGAACUAUCUGUUGGCACUGAAUUAUCCUGAAUUAUCUGUUGGCAAACUGUUGGCACUUCAGGCAAAGUAAUUAAUUGGAGACUACAACUCCUCUCUCUCAAACACUUGGUGUUAAUGGACCAUUUUUGUGCUACUUAAAUACUGGAGACUAGCACUUUGCUUCUGUGUCCUAGUAAAAUGAAGUGUUCCUGUUCUUCAUUUGGGUAUUUCAAUUUCUUGUCUUCUCUACAACUGAACAGCACAAUAAGAAGAUAACAAUGCUUACCAUGUAAAGGGAAAAACUGCUUUUAUGUGUGUGGAGACAGCCUUGAUACUAGCACUGUUGACUUUUUUUUUUUUAUGGCAAUCAACAAAACAUUUUGACACACCACAUAAACAUUUUUGAGAAAAUUAAGUUUUCUAGUUUAAGAAAAAAAUCUGAAUACUGCUUUAAAAUAAAUUUGUUACAGUAACAGUAAAACUUAUCUUGAAUAUUACCAUCCUACUUCACUUUGCUGGUUUUUUUUGUUUUUUUGGUUGAGUUGAACCAUCCCAAAUAAACAACAACUGGUAAAAGGGACUGAAAUAUGACCCAAGCUACUCCACAGAGCACUACUGGCUUUGCCCUGCUGGAAAAGCAUCCACGUAUCAUGGAGAUGUGUAUUACGCCUUCCUGAAUAGCUGGGCCUCGUGUUUCCUAUUAAGAAGAAACGGAAUUGAGCAUUCAUUUUUAUUGGAAAUAAAAACCUACCACAGCCGGAGUCCAGCUUGGAAUGGAAGUUUUUCUUUUGGUAUUCCAGUAAAAUAGUCCACAUCCCACCAUCAACCUGGCUUACUCUCAUCUUACAAGUACCUGAAUGGAGGAAGAUUUGCCUGCUAUUGUCAGUAUGAGUCAGAGAAAGCAGUUCCUUAUUAUAAUUGCUGACCCAGGAGAUUAUGACUCAAAAAUGAAAAAAUAGCUAGACCUGAUUCAGUCAGCCUUGAACCUGGUAAUGCAAAAUCAAUCAGAUUCUUUUAUAUAGCUUAGAAAAUGAAUGUUUUCAGACUAGCUACUGAGAUAUGCUUGCCAAUAUUAUAUUUGCGGUUAAUAAAACUUUAAUUAAAUC